rnacentral:misc_RNA from 1 species
UCUGGCUUAUAGCCAAGCGGUCCCCUUAGAGUGCCCAACUUAAUGAUGGUAACUAAGGGCGAGGGUUGCGCUCGUUGCGGGACUUAACCCAACAUCUCACAACACGAGCUGACGACAGCCAUGCAGCACCUGUCACCGCGUCUCCGAAGAGAACCCCCACUUUCAUGGGGUAGCGCGGGAUGUCAAGUCCAGGUAAGGUUUUUCGCGUAGCAUCGAAUUAAACCACAUGCUCCACCGCUUGUGCGGGCCCCCGUCAAUUCCUUUGAGUUUUAAUCUUGCGACCGUACUUCCCAGGCGGGAUACUUAAUGCGUUAGCUACGACACCGAGACGAUUAGGCGUCCCGACGUCUAGUAUCCAUCGUUUAGGGCGUGGACUAC